AAUAAAAAUGUUGUAAACUACAUAUUUGCCUCUCCCUUCUUUUCUUAAAAGGAAAAAUAUGGAUGUUGAAGGGAAAAAAGAAAAAACGAAGAAAGUUUUCACAUCCCAUAAGCAAAUGCACUUUCCAGAAUGAAAUUGUCAAUUUAUUCUCAGAGCCUGGCUUUUUCUUCACUCACAGUAGGAAUUUGAUAUCUUACAAGAAUUCAAACUGAGAACAAAAACAAACCAGCCCAUAAACAUGAAUUAGCUUCAAUUUUUCUGUAAAUGGUUCUUAUCUCAUUACAGUUCUAAAUAACAGCACUACUUUGGGCAUAGAGCUUCUAUAAAAAAUAUGAUUUAGUACAACAGUUGCAAGUAACAAAAUGGCUGUGAAUUAACCCACACAAUACACAAACUGAAGUUUUUGGCAGUGGGCUCCGGCGGUACACACGCUUAUAUAUAUAUAUAUAUAUAUAACGCAGAGGACAGGGGAAGGCCUAUUUUAGGGGGAAAAAAAAAUUAAUAAAUUAAUAAGCCCGUGUUACUCGUGUUAAGGGGGUGUUUAAUUUUAGUGGAGGUAUUUUGGACAAAAACGUACAGGAGGUUAUUUGAUUUUUUUCCUUUUAAUUAUUAUUAAGUGUACAAUUUUAUUUUAUUUUAUUUUUUACUUUGUCUAAUUGGAAAUAUUUAUCGUUCUUAAAAUCGCAUUUUUCUCUCUACUUUCUCACUCUAAUUUCAAGGGCUUCUUAUUCAUGGUGUGGUGCACGAACAGCUAUUUUUUAAAAUCUUUUUCAUCCCUUAUUUUAUUUAGGUGAAAAUAUGUCCCAAUCACAAAUUUCAAAGCCACUGGGCCCGCCCUCUUACUCCGGCAGAAUUUUGCCACCGGUGGCCACUGCUGCCGUCUCUUCCGCCGCUCAAAGCCUCCAUAUGUGAUCAGAUUCGAGAAAGGAAAUGCUAAGGUUUGGUUCGAGAAAGAAAAGAAAGAACAAUAGUUUAGGAAGAGAGAAAAUAUGAGAGGUUUGACACGUAUUGCCAGGGUCAAAUUUGUCAUUUUAAUUUGAUAAAACAAUGGGUGGAGCGCCACGAUAUAUUUUGGAACGUUAAUAUUAGGGUAAAGUGCAUAAAACUCCUGAACUUUUAGUCAAUUGCACAAAACUCUCCGAAUUAAUAAUUGCCUAUCUGAAGUAUGAUAAAGUUGCAGUUGAGGACAUCAGGUGAGGUUCGGCACCGAAAAAAGAGGAUUACAAUAUUACCCUUAAGUGAAACUAAGUGAAACUAGACGUAUUAGUAUUGUCUUAACUCAAAUCUUAACCAUCCAAUAGAAUUGUGACAACACAUCAUUACCUUAUCACCUCAACCUUGUCAAUGCCAAACACGGCCUUAUACGCAAGGCUUUCUCUCUCCACGCUUUAUUUUUCCCUUCGUUGACGACGUUUGUCGACCAAAAAGGUUUCGCCUGGUCUAUAUGAUGCUCACCAAAAAGGUUUGUCGGCUGUAUCUAUUUGUGUUCACCGGAAUGAGACUUCACUGGUUUACUCGAUCAUGGAAUUUGAGGUUGGGCUCUCGCCGGUUUCGCUGCUUGUUGAUUUGUAGAGCUUCUCAUCAGCGUCGGCAGUCAUGGAGUUUGAGGGAUAAACCAAGAGGCAGCAAAGACUGAUUGUAUCAAUUUACAGGAUGUAGGCCAUGGUGAGAAACGUGGUGGUGCCAGCUCAGAGCUCCGUCGUCAAAGUGGUGUCACGUUUGGUGAGUUUGAAACACUCCAACUCUGCUCCCGGUGACGAAUAAGUUCAACCAAAUCAGCUGUUCUCAGUUUUGGAUGCGGUGUCAGCGGGUCGCGGUUGUUCCGUUCUCAAUCUCCAUGAAAGAUGGAAAGAGGUGCAAUUGUAUAUAUAUGUGUGUGAAAUUAAGAGAAAGGUUAGGGUUCGUUUGUAAUGGUUGAUUGGCUGGUGAUUUGGUAGGGAUAGGGUUCCAACUUCCAACAGACAAAUUUGGGGUCAAUUUGGUGGUGGUUUCAAUUUACAGAGUUGGGAUUUGUUUUCUUUUUGUUUUGUUGUCUGUUGUAUAGGCAAACAAAUAUAAAAUAAAAUAAAUAUAUUUAGGGUUUA